rnacentral:rRNA from 1 species
GAUGAACGCUGGCGGCGUGCUUAACACAUGCAAGUCGAACGAUGAAACCUAGCUUGCUAGGUCGAUUGGUGACGAACGGGUGAGUAACACGUGACUAACCUGCCCCUUUCUCUGGGAUAACGCUCCGAAAGGAGGGCUAAUACCGGAUACUAACACCGAGGCACAUGCCUUGGUGUGGAAAGUGUUUCGGGAAGGAAUGGAGUCGCGGCCGAUCAGCUUGUUGGUGAGGUAACGGCUCACGAAGGCGACGACGGGUAGCCGGUCUGAGAGGGCGAACGGCCACACUGGGACUGAGACACGGCCCAGAGUGCUACGGGAGGCAGCAGUGGGGAAUAUUGCACAAUGGGCGCAAGCCUGAUGCAGCGACGCCGCGUGAGGGAUGAAGGUCUUCGGAUUGUAAACCUCUUUCAGUAGGGACGAAGCGAAAGUGACGGUACCUAAAGAAGAAGCACCGGCUAACUACGUGCCAGCAGCCGCGGUAA